UCCGCGCGCUCUGCACCGGGGAGAAGGGCGCCGGCCGCUCCGGGAAGCCCCUCCACUACAAGGGCUCGAGCUUCCACCGCGUGAUCCCGGGGUUCAUGUGCCAGGGCGGCGACUUCACCGCCGGGAACGGGACCGGCGGCGAGUCGAUCUACGGCUCCAAGUUCGCCGACGAGAACUUCGUCAAGAAGCACACCGGCCCGGGUGUCCUGUCCAUGGCGAACGCCGGCCCGGGGACCAACGGCUCCCAGUUCUUCGUCUGCACCGCCAAGACCGAGUGGCUCGACGGCAAGCACGUCGUGUUCGGGCAGAUCGUGGACGGGAUGGACG
rnacentral:lncRNA from 1 species